UACGUAGGUGGCGAGCGUUGUCCGGAUUUACUGGGCGUAAAGGGAGCGUAGGCGGACUUUUAAGUGAGAUGUGAAAUACCCGGGCUCAACUUGGGUGCUGCAUUUCAAACUGGAAGUCUAGAGUGCAGGAGAGGAGAAUGGAAUUCCAUGUGUAGCGGUGAAAUGCGUAGAUAUAUGGAGGAACACCAGUGGCGAAGGCGACUCUCUGGUCUGUAACUGACGCUGAGGCUCGAAAGCGUGGGGAGCAAACAGGAUUAGA
rnacentral:rRNA from 1 species